rnacentral:rRNA from 1 species
AGAGUUUGAUCCUGGCUCAGGACGAACGCUGGCGGCGUGCCUAACACAUGCAAGUCGAACGGAGAGAUACGAGAGCUUGCUCUUGUAAAUCUUAGUGGCAAACGGGUGAGUAACGCGUAAACAACCUGCCCAACGGAUGGGGACAACAGACGGAAACGACUGCUAAUACCCAAUAGACUCCGGUUUCGCAUGAAACCGACAGGAAAGGUGGCCUCUCGAAGAAGCUACCGCCGCAGGAGGGGUUUGCGUUUGAUUAGUUAGUUGGUGGGGUAACGGCCUACCAAGACGAUGAUCAAUAGCCGGUCUGAGAGGAUGAACGGCCACACUGGAACUGAGACACGGUCCAGACUCCUACGGGAGGCAGCAGUGGGGAAUCUUCCGCAAUGGACGAAAGUCUGACGGAGCAACGCCGCGUGAGUGAAGAAGGCCUUCGGGUUGUAAAGCUCUGUUAUUCGGGAAGAACGAUUCGUUUGUGAACAAUGAACGGAAGUGACGGUACCGAAAGAGAAAGCCACGGCUAACUACGUGCCAGCAGCCGCGGUAAUACGUAGGUGGCAAGCGUUGUCCGGAAUUAUUGGGCGUAAAGAGCGCGUAGGCGGUAUGAUAAGUCUGUCUUAGAAGUGCGGGGCUUAACCCCGUGAGGGGACAGAGACUGUCAUACUAGAGUCUCGGAGAGGAAAGCGGAAUUCCUAGUGUAGCGGUGAAAUGCGUAGAGAUUAGGAAGAACACCGGUGGCGAAGGCGGCUUUCUGGACGAGCACUGACGCUGAGGCGCGAAAGCGUGGGGAGCGAACAGGAUUAGAUACCCUGGUAGUCCACGCCGUAAACGAUGGGUACUAGGUGUAGGAGGUAUCGACCCCUUCUGUGCCGGAGUUAACGCAAUAAGUACCCCGCCUGGGGAGUACGGUCGCAAGAUUAAAACUCAAAGGAAUUGACGGGGGCCCGCACAAGCGGUGGAGUAUGUGGUUUAAUUCGACGCAACGCGAAGAACCUUACCAGGUCUUGACAUUGAUCGCCAUCCGCAGAGACGCGGAGUUCUCCUUCGGGAGACGAGAAAACAGGUGGUGCACGGCUGUCGUCAGCUCGUGUCGUGAGAUGUUGGGUUAAGUCCCGCAACGAGCGCAA